rnacentral:tRNA from 1 species
ACCUGGGUGGCUCAGUGGUUAAGCGUCUGACUUAGGCUCAGGUCAUGACCUCACAUGACCUUGUGGGUUCAAGCCCCGCAUCAGGCU